AACCCUGGCCAAUCAGCGCAAUGUUUGGACUUUGGAAGAGGAAGAUGAAGAACGACAAACGUGUCUAUGUUGAUGGGACGAUGAUAGAGAGAGGCAAAAGCUUCAAAUUCCUGAGCAUGCGUACCUCUAAAGAUCUUUCCUGGACACAGCACAUUGUUGCAAUUAUUUUUUUUAAAACAACCCCUCUACUUCCUGAGAAGAUUGCGGAGAUUUGUGAAUACAAGUCCAGUCACUCCAUUCUUUCAUCAUAUGACAGUCCCGCCAUCCCGGGAAUUAACCUCGUGAACCUACGCUGCACUCCCUCAAUGGCAAGAAUAUCCUUCCUCAAAUCUGCAACUUGAAUGCCCAGGAAAGAAGAAGACUGCAAAAAGUGGCGAACACUACCCAGUCCAUCACGAGUACUGACUUCCCCACCAUCUAAGUGAUUUACAGAGGUCACUGCCUCAAAUAGGCAGCCAGCAUCAUCAGAGACUCACCCUGGCCACGCACUCAUUUCACUCCUGCCAUCGGGAAGAAGUUUUGGGAGCCUGAAAACUCUAAUGUCCAGGUUCAGGAACAACUUCUUCCCUAUAGCCAUCAGGCUAUUAAACACUACAACCUCCAAAUAAAUUGGUUUUGUCUUUUUGCACCAU